rnacentral:rRNA from 1 species
AGAGUCCGAGUUGUAAUUUGCAGAGGGCGCUUUGGCGUUGGCAGCGGUCCAAGUUCUUUGGAACAGGACGUCACAGAGGGUGAGAAUCCCGUACGUGGUCGCUAGCCUUCGCCGUGUAAAGCCCCUUCGACGAGUCGAGUUGUUUGGGAAUGCAGCUCUAAAUGGGAGGUAAAUUUCUUCUAAAGCUAAAUACUGGCCAGAGACCGAUAGCGCACAAGUAGAGUGAUCGAAAGAUGAAAAGCACUUUGGAAAGAGAGUCAAAUAGCACGUGAAAUUGUUGAAAGGGAAGCGCUUGCAGCCAGACUUGCCUGUAGUUGCUUAUCUGGACUUUUGUCCGGUGCACUCUUCUGCGGGCAGGCCAGCAUCAGUUUGGGCGGUUGGAUAAAGGUCUCUGUCAUGUACCUCCUUUCGGGGAGGCCUUAUAGGGGAGACGACAUGCAACCAGCCUGGACUGAGGUCCGCGCAUCUGCUAGGAUGCUGGCGUAAUGGCUGUAAGCGGCCCGUCUUGAAACACGGACCAAGGAGUCUAACAUCUAUGCGAGUGUUUGGGUGUCAAGCCCAGACGCGUAAUGAAAGUGAACGGAGGUGGGAACCUUUUAGGUGCACCAUCGACCGAUCCUGAUGUCUUCGGAAGGAUUUGAGUAAGAGCAUGGCUGUUGGGACCCGAAAGAUGGUGAACUAUGCUUGAAUAGGGUGAAGCCAGAGGAAACUCUGGUGGAGGCUCGCAGCGGUUCUGACGUGCAAAUCGAUCGUCAAAUUUGGGCAUAGGGGCGAAAGACUAAUCGAACUAUCUAGUAGCUGGUUCCUGCCGAAGUUUCCCUCAGGAUAGCAGUAACGUAUUCAGUUUUAUGAGGUAAAGCGAAUGAUUAGAGGCCUGGGGGUUGAAACAACCUUCACCUAUUCUCAAACUUUAAAUAUGUAAGAAGUCCUUGUUACUUGAUUGAACGUGGACACUUGAAUGUACCGUUACUAGUGGGCCAUUUUUGGUAAGCAGAACUGGCGAUGCGGGAUGAACCGAACGCGGGGUUAAGGUGCCAGAAUAUACGCUCAUCAGACACCACAAAAGGUGUUAGUUCAUCUAGACAGCAGGACGGUGGCCAUGGAAGUCGGAAUCCGCUAAGGAGUGUGUAACAACUCACCUGCCGAAUGAACUAGCCCUGAAAAUGGAUGGCGCUCAAGCGUAUUACCCAUACCCCGCCGCC